AGAUAUGUUCUACAAUGAGGCCCAGUCCAGAGGAAUUGGAGGAAAGGAACUAGAGAUACCUCUUUCUGGGCGCAUCCUGCUGUGUUGACAUGAGAAUCUGUUGUGACAUCCUUGAGAUGUAUUAAACAGGUGAGCACAGUAUAAAAGUCCACCCCCUG
rnacentral:lncRNA from 1 species